rnacentral:rRNA from 1 species
GGACCCGCACAAGCGGUGGAUUAUGUGGAUUAAUUCGAUGCAACGCGAAAAACCUUACCUACCCUUGACAUGUCCUGGAGCCUGGUGAAAGCCGGGUGUGCCCGAAAGGGAACGGGAACACAGGUGCUGCAUGGCUGUCGUCAGCUCGUGUCGUGAGAUGUUGGGUUAAGUCCCGCAACGAGCGCAACCCUUGCCAUUAGUUGCUACCGAAAGGAGCACUCUAAUGGGACUGCCGGUGACAAACCGGAGGAAGGUGGGGAUGACGUCAAGUCCUCAUGGCCCUUAUGGGUAGGGCUUCACACGUAAUACAAUGGCGCGUACAGAGGGCAGCGAAGGGGCGACCUGGAGCCAAUCCCGACAAAGCGCGUCGUAGUCCGGAUUGCAGUCUGCAACUCGACUGCAUGAAGUCGGAAUCGCUAGUAAUCGCGGAUCAGCAUGUCGCGGUGAAUACGUUCCCGGGUCUU